rnacentral:rRNA from 1 species
GUGCCAGCCGCCGCGGUAAUACAGAGAGUGCAAGCGUUAUCCGGAUUUACUGGGCGUAAAGCGUUUCGUAGGCGAGUCAGAAAGUUAUUCUUCAAAUACCGGAGCUCAACUCCGGGAAGGGGAGUAAUACUUCUGGCCUGGAAAUAUUUCGGGGUUACUGGAACUAUCGGUGUAGGGGUGAAAUCCGUUGAUAUCGAUAGGAACACCAAGGGCGAAGGCAGGUAACUAGGAAUCAUUUGACGCUGAGGAACGACAGCUAGGGGAGCGAAAGGGAUUAGAAACCCCUGUAGUCC